UAAACUCCCCCCCCCAGAUUCACAGACUGAGAACUACUGGCCGGGACAUUCAAAUUCUGCCUCCCCCCCUCCCGCACCUACCAUCAACUGGCGCUGCUUGUUGCCGAUUGGCUGGAACAGUGUUUUGUGGCUUAUGUCAGACUGAUCUCAUGUAAGUG